UUUGAUCUCUGGCUCAGGAUGAACGCUGGCGGUAUGCUUAACACAUGCAAGUCGAACGGUCUCUUCGGAGAUAGUGGCGGACGGGUGAGUAACGCGUGAGAAUCUAGCUUCAGGUCGGGGACAACCACUGGAAACGGUGGCUAAUACCGGAUGUGCCGAAAGGUGAAAGAUUUAUUGCCUGAAGAUGAGCUCGCGUCUGAUUAGCUAGUAGGUGUGGUAAGAGCGCACCUAGGCGACGAUCAGUAGCUGGUCUGAGAGGAUGAUCAGCCACACUGGGACUGAGACACGGCCCAGACUCCUACGGGAGGCAGCAGUGGGGAAUUUUCCGCAAUGGGCGAAAGCCUGACGGAGCAAUACCGCGUGAGGGAGGAAGGCUCUUGGGUUGUAAACCUCUUUUCUCAGGGAAGAAAAAAAUGACGGUACCUGAGGAAUAAGCAUCGGCUAACUCCGUGCCAGCAGCCGCGGUAAUACGGAGGAUGCAAGCGUUAUCCGGAAUGAUUGGGCGUAAAGCGUCCGCAGGUGGCUAUGUAAGUCUGCUGUUAAAGAGUGAGGCUCAACCUCAUAAGAGCAGUGGAAACUACAUAGCUAGAGUGCGUUCGGGGCAGAGGGAAUUCCUGGUGUAGCGGUGAAAUGCGUAGAGAUCAGGAAGAACACCGGUGGCGAAAGCGCUCUGCUAGGCCGCAACUGACACUGAGGGACGAAAGCUAGGGGAGCGAAUGGGAUUAGAUACCCCAGUAGUCCUAGCCGUAAACGAUGGAUACUAGGCGUGGCUUGUAUCGACCCGAGCCGUGCCGGAGCUAACG
rnacentral:rRNA from 1 species